ensembl:snRNA U4 U4 spliceosomal RNA
AGCUUUGUGCAGUAGCAGUAUCAUAGCCAAUGAGGUUUAUCUGAGGCUCGAUUAUUGCUAAUUGACUAAGAGUGAUAACAUCGAAUAUCCUUGUCUUAUUUGUAAUUUCAGAGUCUUGGAAGUAUG